ensembl:lncRNA
AUUGGACUUCCUAUUAGAAGCAGAGUGUCACCAACUGUUUCUUCACCUCAAUGUGCAGAUAAAGAGAAGAAGAAAAAACGCUGAGACUUUGCUGGUUCUACCUUGUCCUCUUUUACCACAAACUCCAUGCCGAACCUGGCCAUCACACACACUCGGCCGUCUUUCUUCAGCAUGUAUGUUUCUAUCAGAGGCGUGCUCUCUUUGGGCUGGAGGGUUGGUUUCUUGGACAUGUUGUGCUGAGACUUUGUAUCCUGGUUCAGAAACACCUCAGAGCUCAAAGAGUCAUUAACUUCAGAUGACACACUGUUUCCUGUAGACAAGGAACCACAAACUGAAAACACAGAUCGAGAUGGCUUUCGCUUUUCAGUUCUCUCAGCACAAGAGGGGUUUAUACACCAAAUAAUGUGGAGAAGUUUGUUUUAUUGGUGGCAGUAACAUAAAGAGUAAAAUAUGUAACUCAACUAGUUCACAACCAAGUUCAUCAGGGUUCAUAUCUUUUACAGAUUUUGUGUUUUGUUUUGUUUUUGAAUUUAU